rnacentral:lncRNA from 1 species
GCAGCGAGGGUACCCGGGGCCCAACACAAUAACACUAAAUGUAGAGUUAUGACGACCCAUGAUGUGCGAUGUGUGUCAUUGUUUGCCUACACCAUGAGUUUUAGUUGUUCUUGGUUUUAUUUUUCUUUUAUCCUUUUUUGAUACUUUCUUUUAUCCUUUUCUAUAUACAACCUAUCGUGUCUUAUAUCAAUAGAGAUAGGGAAAAACAAAUCUCUCACCAAAAAAGGAAGAUUAAUUGACGACUAUUUAAAUGAAAUGUGCAGAUUUCUGUAUGCAAAGAAUUAGAAUAUAAUCCACUCCCCCCCCACUCCCCCACCCACCAAAAAAUAACAAAAGAAUAAAGUUUUACCUUUUAUGUAAAUGUGUGUAGAAAUAGAAUAUAUUCAUUCAACGAGUUAAUAUAACGUUAUGUCACCGACCACCUGCUUUGCUUAGUGUACGGCCGGACAUGAUCCUCUUGUCACAGUAUGCAUGGUUUCUCAAGCAAAAGUUAGUAACCCGUAAUAUUCGCACA